rnacentral:rRNA from 1 species
GACGAACGCUAGCGGCGUGCUUAACACAUGCAAGUCGUACGGUAAGGCCCUUUCGGGGGUACACGAGUGGCGAACGGGUGAGUAACACGUGAGUAACCUGCCCACAACUUUGGGAUAACGCUAGGAAACUGGUGCUAAUACUGGAUAUGUGCUCCUGCUGCAUGGUGGGGGUUGGAAAGCUCCGGCGGUUGUGGAUGGACUCGCGGCCUAUCAGCUUGUUGGUGGGGUAGUGGCCUACCAAGGCGGCGACGGGUAGCCGGCCUGAGAGGGUGACCGGCCACAUUGGGACUGAGAUACGGCCCAGACUCCUACGGGAGGCAGCAGUGGGGAAUAUUGCACAAUGGGCGCAAGCCUGAUGCAGCAACGCCGCGUGCGGGAUGACGGCCUUCGGGUUGUAAACCGCUUUCAGCAGGGACGAAGCUUUUUGUGACGGUACCUGCAGAAGAAGCACCGGCUAACUACGUG